rnacentral:lncRNA from 1 species
GAUGGAUAACACAAUUCUUUCCUUUCAUGAAACUUCCCCCACAUUGCUGAUUUCCACAGAACAGUGCAUUUGCUCAUACUGUGUUCCGAGUUCGUUGGAUAGCAGCAUUUCUUGAAGCUAGUCUGGAUAAUCUCCAGACUGACUUUAUGGCCUGCGCGUCGAAGGAACUCCAUUAGCUCAUAAAUAUUGUUAGCUUUUUCACGAAUGUAGAUCAAAAUUUUUUGCAAUGAGUAUGAGGCAAUAGGUCAUUUUGCAUACCAUUCCAGAAAAUAAAGGGUGACCUAUAUUGAAAUAAAUACGGUAGUCCUGCAUAAAUGAGAAAAUAUUGCCAGACACUGCAAUUAUUAGCUGUCAGUCAGUAACAUAAAACUGCUGAUGUGAGUGGCAGAUUUAGGACUUCUGAAAUAUCGGGGAACAAUUUUUUUUAGACCCUUAAACAUGCAGAUAACAUUAAAAUGUUAAAACACUAAACAAUAGAAACAAAUAACAUCGAUUAUAUUCCUGAAUCUAUGGAAGCCACAUAGAGAGUUUGAUUGUACUCUGCAGAUUUGUCAAUGACCUGAUUCAUGUGCAAAUCUUAUACUCCAUUUUUUUACACCUCAAGGGCAGCCGGCAAGUCCCAGUGACUUCACACGCGAAAACCCCACACAGAGGUCACCAGUGGGCACAGGUGGUAAUGACGCCCGUUUGCCAUUGCAAGAGCUUUCUGCAAUUGCAACGGGCACCUGCCAUGGGACCGUGCAUGGCAACAGCAGCAGCAGCAACAGACCAUUGCCACCUGCUGCCCCUAUACAAGCGACCCCUCGUGUACGAAGGACACCACUGAGAGGCACACGAGGGCAUAAUGAAGCCACCCUGGCGUAUCUGGACGCCCGGUCAGACCAAGAAAUGCAGAUGCGCAUGCUCGGUCAUGAACUUGACCGGGAGAGACUGGCCCUCCAGAUACGCCAGCACGACGACAAGAUGCAGCUCCACAUCCGCCAGCAUGACGACAACGUGAGGCUGAGGGAGCAGGAGCUUGAGCUGCGAAAAACUGAGCUGGCCGCACUUCUUGAAGAAAGGCGGAGCAGCCAGGUGUACCAGACUGCCCAGCUGGAGCUGAUCAAAGCUUUAACGGAAAAGCUCCAAAAAUAGUGUUAAUUGUACCUGAUGCUCCAGUUUCUUGUUCAGUGCUCUUUUUUUCUCUCUUUUCUCUCAAUUCACAUGCAUGACGCUCCCAUUUCUUGUUCACUGCUCUUUUUCUUUCUUUUCUUAAUCUCGGUACAUACAGAUCAUGGUGCACUAUUUUAAAACAAUUAAAUUAGGAAGUUUUACGUACCAGAACCAAUAUUUGAUAGUGAGGCACGCCGUAGUGUGGGACUCCGGAAAUUUGCACCACCUGGGAUUUUUUAAUGUGUACCUAAAUUUAAGUACACAGUGUUUUCACAUUUAGCGCACUGUUUUAGCAUGCUCUGAUGGGAUAGUGAAGGGUACACUACCUUGCACAAGUUGAGGUGUAUCUUUGCUGUGAAGGUUUUAAGCCAUGAGAAUGAAUGCUCGGGUUUUGUGUUUAAUUCAUGUGUUCCUCAUCAGCCACACUAAUUCUGCUUAUUUAGCGAUGAUUUAUUGAGUUGCCAUAAGUGUUCAAUGUUUUGCUCACGCAUAGAGGAUCCCUUGUCUUCAGAAUGCACGAU